GGGGUAGUAAAGGUUUCGACGGGCUAUUUGAAGUCGGAGAAGCAAGCCGCACGGUCAUGCGUCAAAUGCCAAAAUUAAAAUUAAACGCUGAAGAUAAUUUAGCUGUUGCAGCGUAAGCUGCGACAUUAGCAGCCUAAUGGCUGCCGUCCGACCUAGCGCACCUACACGUUAGGAGCCGGGCGUCGACUCUGUAGGAAACGACACGGGUUAAGCUUUGCCCCCGCGGGCGUAUUAUGAAGCUACAAAAGUGCAUAUCCUGUUAACCGGAGCUGCAUGGAUGGAAAGGAGCUGCUUUGCAGCUCAAAAAGAUUAACUAAGCUUGUAGAAGGACGAUGGACGGUGGUUCGGACACGGGUUCGAUUCCCGUCUACUCCACUC
rfam:Firmicutes bacterium CAG:882 genomic scaffold, scf144